CGUAGGGUGCGAGCGUUAAUCGGAAUUACUGGGCGUAAAGCGUGCGCAGGCGGCUUUGCAAGACAGAUGUGAAAUCCCCGGGCUUAACCUGGGAACUGCAUUUGUGACUGCAUGGCUGGAGUGCGGCAGAGGGGGAUGGAAUUCCGCGUGUAGCAGUGAAAUGCGUAGAUAUGCGGAGGAACACCGAUGGCGAAGGCAAUCCCCUGGGCCUGCACUGACGCUCAUGCACGAAAGCGUGGGGAGCAAACAGGAUUAGAUACCCUGGUAGUCCACGCCCUAAACGAUGUCAACUGGUUGUUGGACGGCUUGCUGUUCAGUAACGAAGCUAACGCGUGAAGUUGACCGCCUGGGGAGUACGGCCGCAAGGUUG
rnacentral:rRNA from 1 species